AUUGAACGCUGGCGGCAGGCCUAACACAUGCAAGUCGAACGGUAACAGGAAGAAGCUUGCUUCUUUGCUGACGAGUGGCGGACGGGUGAGUAAUGUCUGGGAAACUGCCUGAUGGAGGGGGAUAACUACUGGAAACGGUAGCUAAUACCGCAUAAUGUCGCAAGACCAAAGAGGGGGACCUUCGGGCCUCUUGCCAUCGGAUGUGCCCAGAUGGGAUUAGCUAGUAGGUGGGGUAACGGCUCACCUAGGCGACGAUCCCUAGCUGGUCUGAGAGGAUGACCAGCCACACUGGAACUGAGACACGGUCCAGACUCCUACGGGAGGCAGCAGUGGGGAAUAUGGCACAAUGGGCGCAAGCCUGAUGCAGCUAUGCCGCGUGUAUGAAGAAGGCCUUCGGGUUGUAAAGUACUUUCAGCGGGGAGGAAGGGAGUAAAGUUAAUACCUUUGCUCAUUGACGUUACCCGCAGAAGAAGCACCGGCUAACUCCGU
rnacentral:rRNA from 1 species